rnacentral:lncRNA from 1 species
AGCAACCGUCCCCUGAAGGGUGGGCACUGCCCAGGGCCCGCAUGGGGCUGGUCUCACCUGUGUCUCCGUCCUACAGUCCAUGGAAAGCCUGUAUGGACCGGGCAGUGAGGGCACCCCUCCCAGCCUGGAUGACUGUGACGCCGGUAAGCCCCCACCCAGUGGCAGGCAGGCAUUUGAGGGGUGGGCCAUUGCGGAGGUCGGGCCAGGCUGAGCAGGCCCCCGUUCCCUGCAGGCUGCCUGCCCGCCGAGGAGGUGGACGUGCUGCUACAGCGCUGUGAGGGGGGCGUGGAUGCCGCACUGCUGUAUGCCAAGAACAUGGCCAAGUACAUGAAGGACCUCAUCAGCUACCUGGAGAAGCGGACGACGCUGGAGAUGGAGUUUGCCAAGGGCCUGCAGAAGAUCGCUCACAACUGCAGACAGAGCGUCAUGCAGGAGCCCCACAUGCCGCUCCUGUCCAUCUACUCGCUGGCCCUGGAGCAGGACCUGGAGUUCGGCCACGGCAUGGUGCAGGCGGUGGGCACAUUGCAGACCCAGACAUUCAUGCAGGUGCGUGGUGCCUGGGAGGGCGGGCUGGGCGGGGGUGUCACCGGGGUACCCACUCACGGCCCGUCUCGCCCCAGCCCCUGACCCUGCGGCGGCUGGAACACGAGAAGCGCAGGAAGGAGAUCAA